GAUGAACGCUAGCGGCAGGCCUAACACAUGCAAGUCGAGGGAUAAGCCUUCGGGGUAUGACCGGCGCACGGGUGCGUAACGGGUAUACAAUCUGCCUUUUAUCCGGCGGAUAGCUCGAAGAAAUUUGGCUGAAUACCAUCUGGUAUAAGAGCACGGCAUCGUGCACUUAUUAAAGAUACGGCGGUAAAAGAUGAGUAUGAGUUCUAUUAGCUAGUUGGAGAGGUAACGGCGCCCCACGGCGACGAUAGAUAGGGGUUCUGAGAGGGAUGUCCCCCACACUGGUACUGAGAUACGGACAAGACGCCUGAGGGAGGCAGCAGUGAGGAAUAUGGGACAAUGGUCGGGAGAAUGAUCCAGCCAUGCCGCGUGCAGGAUGACGGCCUUAUGGGUUGUAAACUGCUUUUGUAAGGGAAGAAUAAGGAGUACGUGUACUUUGAUGACGGUACCUUACGAAUAAGCAUCGGCUAACUCCGUG
rnacentral:rRNA from 1 species